rnacentral:rRNA from 1 species
UACGUAGGGUGCAAGCGUUAAUCGGAAUUACUGGGCGUAAAGCGUGCGCAGGCGGUUCUGCAAGUCAGAUGUGAAAUCCCCGGGCUCAACCUGGGAACUGCAUUUGUGACUGCAUAGCUGGAGUGCGGCAGAGGGGGAUGGAAUUCCGCGUGUAGCAGUGAAAUGCGUAGAUAUGCGGAGGAACACCGAUGGCGAAGGCAAUCCCCUGGGCCUGCACUGACGCUCAUGCACGAAAGCGUGGGGAGCAAACAGG